rnacentral:rRNA from 1 species
ACGAACGCUGGCGGCGUGCUUAACACAUGCAAGUCGAGCGGUAAGGCCCUUUCGGGGGUACACGAGCGGCGAACGGGUGAGUAACACGUGGGUGACCUGCCCUCAGCUCUGGGAUAAGCCUGGGAAACCGGGUCUAAUACUGGAUAUGACUCCAUGACGCAUGUUGUGGGGUGGAAAGCCUUGUGCGGCUGAGGAUGGGCCCGCGGCCUAUCAGCUUGUUGGUGGGGUGAGGCCUACCAAGGCGACGACGGGUAGCCGGCCUGAGAGGGCGACCGGCCACACUGGGACUGAGACACGGCCCAGACUCCUACGGGAGGCAGCAGUGGGGAAUCUUGCGCAAUGGGCGAAAGCCUGACGCAGCGACGCCGCGUGAGGG